AUGCACCGCUGUUGUCGAUGGCACAUCAUGAAAAAGGCUCAGGAAAAGGUUGGUUGGCUGCUGUGCCGGAAUCCAGGACUCUCUGAUGAUUUCAACAAGUGUGUUGACUUCAGCUUCACUAUAGACGAGUUUGAGCAGAAUUGGGCUGGGUUAAUGAUGAAGUAUGAGGCUAUGACACACACGCACUUUGAGAAGUUGUACGAAUACAGGUCAACUUGGGUGCCGUGCUACUUCAAACACAGGUACUUCCCCUUCCUCCAGUCUACACAGCGUAGUGAGGGGUUCAACGCCGUCCUCAAAAGAUAUGUGAACCCACACAACUCAAUGCUGAACUUCGUCAAGCAAUAUGAAAAAAUCCAGAACCACAUCCUUGCCAAGGAAGGUUGCAAUGAUUACAGGACAGAACACCUUGAGAUUGAGUUGUGGUCCAACUUCCCAAUAGAGAAGCAAGCUUACAAAACCUAUACUAGAGACCUUUACCGCAAGUUCAAACAAGAGUUUGAGCUGAUUGGACGUUAUAAUGCAUUCCAAGUUGGUGCUGAUGUGUUUGAGCUCAGACCGAACCAGGAAUUUGUUGCGAAAUAUGGUUCUCGAAACUACUUGGUGUAG
rnacentral:rRNA from 1 species